CUUGAUUCCCUUGCUUGCACCAAAUGCGGUGAGCUACGGCCCCUGAGGCAGAGGGAAUUUCAUUUCCAAAGAGGC
rnacentral:ncRNA from 1 species